GCCUCCUACGUCAACUAUGCCCGUGAACGGAGAACCCAUUCAGGAUCCAGUGGCGUUCUUUAGAGCUGGUGUGAUGCCCGGUGUGGCAAUGCAGAGGGCAGUGGCGGACCACCCGCAGAGUCUAGCCGCAGCGUGGACGGUGCCGAGGGCUCUCAAGAACUGACCGUGGAAGAGGAUGGUUUGGAGUAUCAGUACUCAGACAAAGGCUUGGUCUAACGCCUUAGCCUUCAUGAUGGAGCCAGAGGCAGCACUAGAUCAUCACAGGACUUCAUAAACUUGACACUGCUUCCGGCCAACUCACGUUUUGAGCCCAAUGAACAUCAUGUGCCGCGGUGUGCUUUUCACACUUGGCAGUAAAACCCAAGCAAUUUUUUUUAUGGAGCCCUGCAGACUUGCAAGUGGUUGUGGCAAAUCAUCACUGGACAAUGGUGUGACGCUGCAGCAGAUUGUAUGUACGCCUGCCACACUGUGGGCAAUGCUGCAGCAGUGUGCUCUUUUCAGUGUGCUAUACCGAGGUCAACUAAGUGUGCAUGACGUGUGUGGUAGCUAUGCGAGGACAUUCCAACUGGCACACUACUAUCCCAUCGUAAUGUGUUUGUUGACCAAUGUCUGAUGUGUGUUCAUUUGGAUGACUGCAGGCCAACAAUUUUUAGCAUGCU
rnacentral:lncRNA from 1 species